UAGGGAAUCUUCCGCAAUGGGCGAAAGCCUGACGGAGCAACGCCGCGUGAGUGAUGAAGGUCUUCGGAUCGUAAAACUCUGUUAUUAGGGAAGAACAAAUGUGUAAGUAACUAUGCACGUCUUGACGGUACCUAAUCAGAAAGCCACGGCUAACUACGUGCCAGCAGCCGCGGUAAUACGUAGGUGGCAAGCGUUAUCCGGAAUUAUUGGGCGUAAAGCGCGCGUAGGCGGUUUUUUAAGUCUGAUGUGAAAGCCCACGGCUCAACCGUGUAGGGUCAUUGGAAACUGGAAAACUUGAGUGCAGAAGAGGAAAGUGGAAUUCCAUGUGUAGCAGUGAAAUGCGCAGCGAUAUGGAGGAACACCAGUGGCGAAGGCGACUUUCUGGUCUGUAACUGACGCUGAUGUGCGAAAGCGUGGGGAUCAAACAGG
rnacentral:rRNA from 1 species